CUGUACAAUGUUGACAGGACAGCAAUGGGAUGAGCUUAGAAAGCGAGGGGGCGCACGGCUCCUGAAAUGAAAUGGCAAUUUUAUUAUGCUGCCGAUUCUUUAUCUCUACUUCCCCUAAAUUCAAGUCCCUGCCACUGCCACUCUCGCAAAAUUGCUUUUUGCAGCUUCAAGGUUGGAUAUACCCAGUGCUUGGCAAAUGCCCUAGGGUGGUGUCAAUGAGGGUGAAGAUCCUAGAAGUGCAGCCAUCAGCGGAAGUUAUUGUAGAGUGUGGUUGUCCUACGUCAGUUUUGGUAUCAGAGUAGACUUUUGGUCCAUACAACACAACCAUAAACAACCAAUUGAAAGUAAAAACCAUCAAAAGAGCAAGCCAGCCAAAUAUGACAAUACCUUUCAAGUUUUUGCCCCAUGAGAUCUUGAACAAGCCCAAACCAGCCCCGGCAAUCUGUAUAUACCCCGCAGCCCCAUAUGAGUUUUUCACCCCCAAGCCAACAGAGAAGCCAGGAAUGCCUCCCAAACAGGUGACCACCAUCCGUGCCCACCUCUGAUCAUAGAACCCACAACCUAGAAACCAAAAAAAAAAAAAAAAAAAACCCACACAAGCCAUCAGCCACCAGCCGAGACCCACAAAUCAACCCUCAGCCGCCGUAGCCCAUCAGCCACCAGCUGUAGACCCAUCAGCCACUGCCGCCGACGCCAUCUUCUCCCCUGACCACCGCAGCUAAGGACGUCAGCCACCAUCGAUGCAAGACCCGAGACAGGCAGCUGCCACUCCGCCGCAGUCUUCCCCAUCUUGUGCCACUGCAGUCGUCGACCACUAGCACCGCCGUCCAUCGCCAAGCUGAUUACGUUGUCUCUUUUAGUUUCUGUGUUUUUUCCUUUAGAGUGUAGUUAGAGUUCCUUAUUAAAGUCUGUCGUUUGAAUUUAUUUUAAAGUCUGUAGCUUUUUAAGUCCAUCACAGCAGUGUAAUUUUAUUAUUUUGCAAAAAAAAAAAAAAAAAAAAAAAAAAAAGGAAAGAGGAAAAGAAAUAAAGUGUUGUUGCUGCCAGCCCAUUGCACGUAUGGGCCCUUAAGUUGUUUUUUUCACAGAUCCAUUUUGUCCAAUUAGACCCAUUCAAGUGAGGAACCAAGUGCAAUAAGUUGGCCACUGACAAGGGGAUGGAGGAGUUCACUGUUUCCUAGUUCGGUGGCGAGGGUGACCAGAUUUUGAUUGCACAUGGAUUACUCGAGAUAAGCUACAGCGACUGGAUCCUGACUUGCUGGAGUACUAUCAAAGCUCUUCCGAUUUCCACUCGACGAGGUCGAGUUCUUCUCACCCGGGGGAAGUUGGUGCGGACACGAGGUAUAAGCCUCCAAUUACACACACAUAUAGGAGGAAGAGCAAAAAAAAGAUGGCCCAACCUGUGGCCUUAUGGAUGGAGCCUAUUAGUUAUUGGGCUUGAGAUUAAGCAAGCCCAAGCAUUUAAUAAUUAGGGUUUCUUUAUGCAUUUUUAUUGUUAGCUAUUUAAGUACUUUUUCUGAUUAUUGUAAGACAGCUUUUGAGAAUUAUUAAAAAAACAUGUGUUUUCUUUCA